CUAAAAACAGUGAUAGGGAUAAGUAAACAAAUACAGAUGUCUUAAAGAGAGUGGGGAAAGGUGAAAACCCAUAGACUAUGGUUGUUGAAUACACCCUGGAGUUGCAGGCUGAAAUCUAAGGAGACUAAGCCCAGCCGGUUAAAUGCCGUUAUAUAAAUGAGAUAUAAAUUUGGAUGGUACCGCGAACAGAUUAUUCGCUCCAGUG
rnacentral:ncRNA from 1 species